rnacentral:rRNA from 1 species
AGGAGUUUGAUCCUGGCUCAGAACGAACGCUGGCGGCAGGCCUCAAACAUGCAAGUCUAGGGGGUGUAGCAAUACAUCACCGGCGGACGGGUGCGUAACACGUGGGAAUAUACCUUUUGGUUCGGAACAACGCAGGGAAACUUGCGCUAAUACCGAAUGUGCCCUUACGGGGAAAGAUUUAUCGCCAAAGGAUUAGCCCGCGUAGGAUUAGCUAGUUGGUGAGGUAAUGGCUCACCAAGGCUCCGAUCCUUAGCUGUUCUGAGAGGAAGAUCAGCCACACUGGGACUGAGACACGGCCCAGACUCCUACGGGAGGCAGCAGUUGGGAAUCUUGGACAAUGGGGGAAACCCUGAUCCAGCCAUGCCGCGUGAGUGAUGAAGGCCUUCGGGUUGUAAAACUCUUUCGACGGGGACGAUAAUGACGGUACCCGUAGAAGAAGCUCCGGCUAACUUCGUGCCAGCAGCCGCGGUAAUACGAAGGGGGCUAGCGUUGUUCGGAAUUACUGGGCGUAAAGCGCGCGCAGGCGGUCUUCCAAGUCAGUGGUGAAAGCCCGGAGCUCAACUCCGGAACUGCCAUUGAAACUGUAAGACUUGAGGACGAGAGAGGUGAGUGGAAUUCCCAGUGUAGAG